AUAGUUAAAAUAUGCUUUAUUUGUACAGUUACGUAGCCAGUAACAUUACUGUUGAUUGCUUUGCUUGAUGUUUUUAAUUCUGAAGUGAUUUUUGCAAGCCAAGUUUCAGCACAUUGUCAUUAGCUUUUUGAGUAAAAGCUUUUUGGACGGAAUGUCUUUAUCUCUCUAGGAGGUGGGGUGAUUCAAUCGGAUUUUAAUCCAACCCUGAGCGCAUGUUUUCUCCCCUUUCCAGUAAAAUAGCAGGCGAGAUAAACUGAUGUUUGGCCUAACGUUAACGUUACCUGUUUUUUUUACACUGAACUUCUGGUAUAGUUUGAGUCUUUUGUUAAUAUUUUGACAUAUAUUCUCCACCUCCCCAUGUAAUGUUGUUUCAGAUAAUUUUCAUAUCAUAUUAAAUCUUAAAAUACUGCGCGCGCGUGUGUUCUGUUGUGUGUGUGUUAUUUUGCAGCUUACAGCUCAUUCAAGUGCCACUGGUCUUGCAGUAUUUCAUCUUUUCCAAACAACCGAGUAAAUUUACAGCUCAUUCAAGUGCCACUGGUCUGUUUUUGGAGAAUUUCAUCUUUAAGGUGCUGUGAGAAAGAGCCAUGUCUCCUGUGCCGCCACUGACAUUACAAAACACGUAAUACGGUGGUUCAACUUGGCAGCAGAUAGGGGAAACUCAAGGAGCCGUCCCACUGUCAGCACCCAACAGUAGCGUUUCGGUGUUUCACAGUUAACUUCUGUGUUUUGAAGUGUUCGUUUAACAGUUAAGUAGUAACAGUUGAGAUAAAGUUUACUACUUUAAAUAGUUUUGUUUCUAUUCAUCUUCAAAAAACCCAGUUUCCACACAAAAAAAUAAGAAGUGCAACAUUAAUAAGAAUAAAUGUUUCUUGAGCUACAUUAAAAAAGUGUUCUUUUUCAUUAAAUAAAAAAUGUUCUUUGGACAAUUUAUGGUUGCAUUUCAUUUUCUGUAAUACCUAUUAAUUGUAUACAUAAAUAAUUGUUACUGGCUAAAAUGGCUGAAUUUUGAUUUACAAGUUUUGAAUGAUUUCAUCAUGUUUUAUUAAUAAAGGCAGGCAUAUUAAAUAUUACAGAGCAAUCCAGUCUAUCCAAUGUCGGUCCAUUAGAUUUGAAAUAUUUCUUUAGCUAGUUUUGUCCAGAAUACUAGUUUUAAAUGAGGGAUCUGAAAGGUAUCCAGACAGAAUGACCAGAUCGGAUCCGUGGCGGAUCAGCUGCUUUAUAAACGGGUCCUGAUCGGAUCCGUGGCGGAUCAGCUGCUUUAUAAACGGGUCCUGAUCGGAUCCGUGGCGGAUCAGCUGCAUUAUAAACGGGUCCUGAUCGGAUCCGUGGCGGAUCAGCUGCUUUAUCAGCGGAUACAGGGCGGGUCUGCCCCAGAUCUGGUCCGGAUCCGCAAUCCUUAUUUGUUCCGGAUCCGCUGCGCUGUGCAAGUGGACUCCGUUCCGGACCCGUUUUGCGCAUCCGUUCCGGAGCUUGUGACACUUCCGGGGCGGAUCCGUUCCGG